UAGCCGGCCUGAGAGGGUGAACGGCACACUGGGACUGAGACACGGCCCAGACUCCUACGGGAGGCAGCAGUAGGGAAUCUUCCGCAAUGGACGGAAGUCUGACGGAGCAACGCCGCGUGAGUGAGGAAGGCCUUCGGGUCGUAAAGCUCUGUUGUUCGUGAAGAAGGGGUUGGCCAGGAAAUGGGCCGGCAUUGACGGUAGCGAACCAGAAAGCCCCGGCUAACUACGUGCCAGCAGCCGCGGUAACACGUAGGGGGCAAGCGUUGUCCGGAAUGAUUGGGCGUAAAGGGCGCGCAGGCGGCCUCUUAAGUCUGAUGUGAAAGCCCACGGCUCAACCGUGGAGGGACAUUGGAAACUGGGGGGCUUGAGUGCAGGAGAGGGGAGUGGAAUUCCACGUGUAGCGGUGAAAUGCGUAGAGAUGUGGAGGAACACCAGUGGCGAAGGCGGCUCUCUGGCCUGUGACUGACGCUGAGGCGCGAAAGCGUGGGGAGCGAACAGGAUUAGAUACCCUGGUAGUCCACGCCGU
rnacentral:rRNA from 1 species